rnacentral:rRNA from 1 species
UACGAAGGGGGCUAGCGUUGCUCGGAAUCACUGGGCGUAAAGGGUGCGUAGGCGGGUCUUUAAGUCAGGGGUGAAAUCCUGGAGCUCAACUCCAGAACUGCCUUUGAUACUGAGGAUCUUGAGUUCGGGAGAGGUGAGUGGAACUGCGAGUGUAGAGGUGAAAUUCGUAGAUAUUCGCAAGAACACCAAAGGCGAAGGCAGUGUCCUGGGGAGUACCUGACGCUCAGGUGCGAAAGCCAGGGGAGCGAACGGG